rnacentral:rRNA from 1 species
GACGUAGGAGGCGAGCGUUGUCCGGAUUCAUUGGGCGUAAAGGGUGCGUAGGCGGCGCGGUAAGUCGGGUGUGAAAUCUCGGAGCUUAACUCCGAAACUGCAUUCGAUACUGCCGUGCUUGAGGACUGGAGAGGAGACUGGAAUUUACGGUGUAGCGGUGAAAUGCGUAGAUAUCGUAAGGAAGACCAGUGGCGAAGGCGGGUCUCUGGACAGUUCCUGACGCUGAGGCACGAAGGUCAGGGGAGCAAACGGG